GAGCAAGGUGCUGCCCAAGGCAGAAGGAGAAGUGUCCCAGUGGCUGAGGAAGGAGCAGCUGUGAGCAGAAUGGCAUGAUGAUGGGCUUUGAUGAGUCUCUCAGACUACAAAGGAAUCUGGAAGGAUUUGAUAGCUGAGUCUUUUCUUGUCGCAAGAACAAAGGGCUGUCUGAGGAACAUGGACUCUCAGUGCCAGGGACAGCUGUGGGACCAGGAUCUCACCCAAGACCUAUAGAAAACACCUACAGAAUUAAGGGCACAGCAUCCAGGGCAGGCAGAGGAGCCUGGCCAUGCCGCGCAUGGGCAUCGUUCUCGCUACCUGCACGCGUCCCAGCUGCUGCAGCUGAAGGAUUUGUUGCCCGAUAGCUGAAAUUCUACAGCAGUGCAAUAUUUGGUCCUUUUGGCUUCACUCCCUUACCUUGCGUUUGCCAUCCAACAGUUGUCUUUGAGGGAUGGAAGAGAAAUGUCAAACCAUUUAGUGUGUGCUUGCUUCCCCUCUGUGGACACGUAACAGUCCCAAAUUAAGUUAUUGCUCAUGCAAAGCAUCUUCUAAUAUAUUCAACCCAUACAUAUUCUGUGUAUAUCCCCAUGUAUGUUAGUUACGUGCUCUAAUAUAUUUAGCUCUUCAACAUUAUCAUCUUGGGUAAUUCAUUUAAAAUAUUUGCAGCUAUUUAAAGGACUUUUGUCCCAUAAGAUUUGGUUCUUAGUGCAACAAAGGUCAUUUUGUCCAGUAAAUUAGUGAAUCUGUACCAUCAGCAGUUUGCCUCGGUGAUUUCAAAUAUUCUGUUGCACCAUUAAUGCAUUUACCAACAAUAAAAUCAAUUAGAAUAAUUUUACCUCUGAUGGGGUUUGACCUACAGUGAAGCCCCUUAAAUGAACAAAUUAAUUUUAAUUAAUUUUAAAACUACUCAGGUACCUCUUUGGUUAAAUUGUUUUAUUUGUCUUUAAUUUUCUGUUGUCGUCUGAGUAGAAGCACAAAUUUUCAGCAAGAAAUCAGACUCUUGCAGCCUUUGAGGCUUUAGAACUGCACCAAAAGUGUUUUCGAUACUGGCAACAAACUGAAGAGUCAUUAUUUUUGUCUUGUCUUGCCCAUCUAAUAAACAAGUGGCAAUGCAGCAGGCAUCUGCAAAAGUGAAGCUCCUCUCAUUCUCACUGCAUAAGGCUACAGGGCAAUCAGUGACAUUAAGGGACGUGUAGUUCCAGAUCCGUGAAAGGAAACUCCUUGCUGGGGAAAUCACGGCCAUGGUGAUUUCUUGUAGCAGGCAAAAUCACUCAGAAGGCAGUCAGGAAAUGGAGCUCAGGGACCAGUAAAUUAUGUGAAGGCAGGGCAAUGAGCAAGCAAGCCAUGCUGGUGUGCCUUUGGGUGUCUGCUCCUGCAGGGAACACGCGUCUGCACCUCUUGUGCCCCCUGACACUGGUUUCUUCUCACUGAGCAGGUGUCCACAUUGAGGAGAUGAUGAAGACUGUAAGCAAAGGGGAAAUAUGGAGACCAAACCUGUCCUCCCAUUCAAGCCUCACCUGAAACCGCUGGUAGGAAUGACCAAACGCAGUGGUGUGUGAAUGAGGCACCUCUGGAUGGCUCCGUGUCUCCUUCAGCAACUUCUGAAUGAACUUCAGCAACAACAGAAUGAUCGUGGGCUUCAGGUCUGCUGCUGUGAGGAUCUCCAGGAGCUGAAGCUGCAGCAAAUGGCAGCUUCACCCUAAAGAGCACAAAAUGGGGAAGAUCAGGCAGGUGAGGCUGGAUGUCUGCAGCCCACGUGUGGGCUGUGAUGGUGGGAGCAAACCUGGUUUGCCUGCAGCUGAAGCUGUUGUGGCUGCUGGAACUUCAAGAGCUCCAUGAGUUUGCCCUGCUGAGCUCCCACCUCGGCGAGCACCAACUGCUUCCUUGGCCUGGAAGGGCUGUCGUCUCUGUGUGAUUUUGGGGCAGGUGAGCACAUCUCCAGCCUUUCCACCUUGCAUGCAGCCUGGAAUACACCCAGGUGCAUGCCAGUGGGGGAUAAUUUAUUAGGGCCAGCCAAGAGCAUUACACAUCCCAUUAAGUCAGCUGUGACUUUGCAAGCCAAGUGCCCAUUCAGGGUGUACUGUGUAUCCUCAGACCAGUAUUGAUCCUAAAAUUUCUGGUGGCUUAUUAAUGAAAGCAACACUGUGGCCAGAUCCUUCUGACUUGUGUAAAGCUGAAGAAGCCUUACUGCUGCCAGCACAGCUGCUGGAGAUGAAGCUGGAGUAAAGGGAGCAGAAUCUGCCCUACUCCUUCCAACCACUACACGUGGGUUAAGCAGGAACUACGGGAAGAAGUGAAUGCUUUUGCCAACAAAAUGUUGUCUCUCUUCAGCCAUGACCACCUUUGGAGUUAAUCCUGAUCCUUCGGAGAACGAGCCAAAAACCCCUCUGAGGACAGCACUGGGCCUAUGUUUUGCCAGGGUUCUUCAAAAUCCUCCAUUUUACAACAGAAGUCCUCAGCUGCCAUCACUGCAUGGAGUUUAUUAAUAAGGCUCUUGGCUUUAAAUACUCUCUCCAUCAGGCAACAGGUUAAGACCUCGAAAAUGCCGGGCCCCGCGUGCUCUGUCUGGCUCUGGGAAGGAUGUCUGCAGCCCUCGACAGCUCCGAGCCUCCGCGCAGCCUCUGCCCGCCAAAGGACAGGAGCCGGUGCUCGCAGACAGCUGGCGGGGGAACGGCUUUGAAGACGGAUUUGUUAGUCAUGGCAGCAGCAUCCCCUGACACGGAGCUGGAGGGAAGGCACGGGGGAAAGUUUAUUGACUGGGCAGCUUCUGCCGUUGGGAGAGGGUCAAGAGGCGCCGGUGGCUCUCGAGGCUUGGCCUCUCCUCCCGCAUCCCGUUUUAGGAGAGCUCCUUUUGUUCCUGCAGAGGUCAUUUUCCUGAGCGAGAUAAUUUAUGAGUGGAAGAUGGUUCGCUCAAGGAGAACUACACCAACUCACAUACAAAUCUUCCCUUCCCACAGUAAUUUAUGAUUUGUCCUAAUUAGCUGGUAUAAACGUGUGGAAACUCCAAGUGCAAUCUCUUCUUUGCAUGGUUCACGUUCGCUUUGCAGGCUGUGUCCUGCUUGUCAGAGGCAUUGUUUGUUCAAUAAUAAAAUUGCCACAUACUGUUAAUCACAACCUGCAAACAUCUAAUAAAACAACCAUUGAAAGUGUGUAUGUAAAACCAUCUCUUCACUAGCCCCAUUAGGCUCGGCUCUUUCUUCUUUGAAAGCUGCAUGACCUCCCUUUUCAAUCAA